UAGGGAAUCUUCGGCAAUGGACGAAAGUCUGACCGAGCAACGCCGCGUGAGUGAAGAAGGUUUUCGGAUCGUAAAACUCUGUUGUUAGAGAAGAACAAGGACGUUAGUAACUGAACGUCCCCUGACGGUAUCUAACCAGAAAGCCACGGCUAACUACGUGCCAGCAGCCGCGGUAAUACGUAGGUGGCACGCGUUGUCCGGAUUUAUUGGGCGUAAAGCGCGCGCAGGCGGUUUCUUAAGUCUGAUGUGAAAGCCCCCGGCUCAACCGGGGAGGGUCAUGCGAAACUGGGAGACUUGAGUGCAGAAGAGGAGAGUGGAAUUCCAUGUGUAGCGGUGAAGUGCGUAGAUAUAUGGAGGAACACCAGUGGCGAAGGCGGCUCUCUGGUCUGUAACUGACGCUGAGGCUAGAAAGCGUGGGGAGCAAACAGG
rnacentral:rRNA from 1 species